UACGUAGGGGGCUAGCGUUGUCCGGAUUUAUUGGGCGUAAAGAGCGUGUAGGCGGCCAGGUAGGUCUGCUGUGAAAACUCGAGGCUUAACCUCGAGAUGUCGGCGGAAACCAUCUGGCUAGAGUCCGGAAGAGGAGAGUGGAAUUCCUGGUGUAGCGGUGAAAUGCGCAGAUAUCAGGAAGAACACCCGUGGCGAAGGUGGCUCUCGUGGGACGGUACUGACGCUGAGACGCGAAAGCGUGGGGAGCGAACAGG
rnacentral:rRNA from 1 species